rnacentral:rRNA from 1 species
UACCAGCACCCCGAGUGGUCGGGACGUUUAUUGGGCCUAAAGCAUCCGUAGCCGGUUCUACAAGUCUUCCGUUAAAUCCAACUGCUUAACAGGUGGGCUGCGGAAGAUACUAUAGAGCUAGGAGGCGGGAGAGGCAAGCGGUACUCGAUGGGUAGGGGUAAAAUCCGUUGAUCCAUUGAAGGCCACCAGUGGCGAAGGCGGCUUGCCAGAACGCGCUCGACGGUGAGGGAUGAAAGCUGGGGGAGCAAACCGG